rnacentral:rRNA from 1 species
AUUGAACGCUGGCGGCAUGCUUUACACAUGCAAGUCGAACGGUAACAGGUUAAGCUGACGAGUGGCGAACGGGUGAGUAAUGCAUCGGAACGUGCCCGAUCGUGGGGGAUAACGCAGCGAAAGCUGCGCUAAUACCGCAUACGAUCUGAGGAUGAAAGCGGGGGACCGUAAGGCCUCGCGCGUUCGGAGCGGCCGAUGUCAGAUUAGGUAGUUGGUGGGGUAAAGGCUCACCAAGCCAACGAUCUGGAGCUGGUCUGAGAGGACGACCAGCCACGCUGGGACUGAGACACAGCCCAGACUCCUACAGGAGGCAGCAGUGGGGAAUUUUGGACAAUGGGCGAAAGCCUGAUCCAGCAAUGCCGCGUGCAGGAAGAAGGCCUUCGGGUUGUAAACUGCUUUUGUACCGAGCGAAAAGGCUCUCUCUAAUACAGGGGGCUCAUGACGGUACCGUAAGAAUAAGCACCGGCUAACUACGUGCCAGCCGCCGCCUGUAA